CGGGCUGUGGCGCAGUUGGUAGCGCGCACGCAUGGGGUGCGUGAGGUCGUCGGUUCAAAUCCGGUCAGCCCGACCA
rnacentral:tRNA from 1 species